UGAGCAACCUGCCCUUGACACUGGAAUAACAGUUGGAAACAGCUGCUAAUACCGGAUACGACCUCCGAUGGCAUCAUCUGGAGGUGGAAAGCUCCGACGGUCAAGGAUGGGCUCGCGGCCUAUCAGCUUGUUGGUGAGGUAACGGCUCACCAAGGCUUCGACGGGUAGCCGGCCUGAGAGGGCGACCGGCCACACGUGGGACUGAGAUACCGGCCCAGACCUCCCGUAGGGA
rnacentral:rRNA from 1 species